rnacentral:rRNA from 1 species
CAGCAGCCGCGGUAAUACGUAGGGUGCGAGCGUUAAUCGGAAUUACUGGGCGUAAAGCGUGCGCAGGCGGUUGUGUAAGACAGGUGUGAAAUCCCCGGGCUUAACCUGGGUACUGCGCUUGUGACUGCACAGCUAGAGUAUGGCAGAGGGGGGCGGAAUUCCACGUGUAGCAGUGAAAUGCGUAGAGAUGUGGAGGAACACCGAUGGCGAAGGCAGCCCCCUGGGCCAAUACUGACGCUCAUGCACGAAAGCGUGGGGAGCAAACAGGAUUAGAUACCCCCGUAGUCCCUGUCUCUUAUAC